rnacentral:rRNA from 1 species
UGGGGAAUAUUGCACAAUGGAGGGAACUCUGAUGCAGCAACGCCGCGUGCGGGAUGACGGCCUUCGGGUUGUAAACCGCUUUCAGCCAUGACGAAGCUUUUGUGACGGUAGUGGUAGAAGAAGCACCGGCUAACUACGUGCCAGCAGCCGCGGUGAUACGUAGGGUGCGAGCGUUGUCCGGAAUUAUUGGGCGUAAAGAGCUUGUAGGCGGUUUGUCGCGUCGAUAGUGUAAACACGCAGCUUAACUGUGUGCCUGCCGUCGAUACGGGCUGACUAGAGGAGGGUAGGGGAGAAUGGAAUUCCCGGUGGAGCGGUGGAAUGCGCAGAUAUCGGGAGGAACACCAGUGGCGAAGGCGGUUCUCUGGACCUUUCCUGACGCUGAGAAGCGAAAGCGUGGGUAGCAAACAGG